GGAAGGAUCAUUAUCGAAUCUGAUCUGAAGAGGUAGAGAGACUGUCGCAUGUGUGCACGUCCCCUUACCUUUUCUAUCUACACACACCUUGUGCACCUAUUGUAGAUCAUCCUCUGGAUGAUCUAUGUUCUCAUCACGUCCAACACACCGAUGUAUGUCUAGAAUGUAAAUCUAAAUAUAUAUAUACAACUUUCAGCAACGGAUCUCUUGGCUCUCGCAUCGAUGAAGAACGCAGCGAAUUGCGAUAAGUAAUGUGAAUUGCAGAUUUCCAGUGAAUCAUCGAAUCUUUGAACGCACCUUGCGCUCCUUGGUAUUCCGAGGAGCAUGCCUGUUUGAGUGUCAUCGAAUUGUCAACCAUUCUCUCUUGAGAAAAGAAAGAUGGCUUGGAGGUUGGGGGCUGCUGGCAGGACUUGUCAGCUCUCCUUAAAUGCAUUAGUGAUCGAAUUGGGCUAAGUCUUUGACGUGCAUGGCCUUGGACGUGAUAAUGAUCGUCAUGGCUGGAGCGUCUUCUCCUAGGUUUAUGCACAUAAGAGAUUGCUUUCAAAUCAGAAUUUCGGAGGAGAAAGCUGAGGGGUCAGAGUUGGUAGUCUCGUAUUUAGUCUAUCGAGCUUUAGCUACUAGGCAGUCUGUUCUAACGAGAAAAGGCUGGCGAACGCGAGCGAGAAAGACUAGGAAUGAGACGGGCGAUCAGGACCUCUCUUUCUCUCCUCCAUUUUCAGAGACUUGACCUCAAAUCAGGUAGGACUACCCGCUGAACUUAAGCAUAUCAAUAAGCGGAGGAAAAGAAACUAACAAGGAUUCCCCUAGUAACUGCGAGUGAA
rnacentral:rRNA from 1 species